CAGCGUCAAGGUUGACGCUUACUAGUGGUCUUUGAUAACAUUUAAGGUUUCGCUUUUCGGGGUGACUGCAUGGCCCGUAUCGCCGGCGUUAACAUUCCUAAC
rfam:Methyloversatilis universalis FAM5 contig00070, whole genome shotgun sequence.